rnacentral:lncRNA from 1 species
UUGAGCUCUACAUUAUCAUGCAUGCAACUCAUUAGGCAUCUGCAGGAUUAUAAUUCCAAGUUUCCUGAAUAAAAACCCUAAGUCUAGCUAUUUCCUUUUAAGCACCAAAACCUCAACCAAUCAAUCGAGCAAUCAAUUGGUCAACAAAACUGCAAAUUUACAUUUUAAUCAUUAAAUCUCUUUAGAUUUAUUAAGUUUCCUAGCUCCUUGUGGAUUCGAUCCCUAAAUACUGCAAUUGAACCUCUUAUUUGAGAGAGUAAAUUCGCUCUUUAGGGUAAUUUUAGUGAUAUCAAAUUUGGCACCGUUGCCGGGGAGGUUUGGUUGCCUAUUUGAUUUAAUUUUGUUAAGUUUCUGACAUUAAAUUUUUUCUUGGAUUUUCAGGUAUAUGCCCAGCAGUACCAGAAGCAACAAGGAAACUCAACUGCUAUUCUCACAAGAUCCUGUAAAUUUGGAGCGUUCAAGUACGCAAAGAAGCAGACUCCUCAUCGAUUGACAACAAC